CGUUUGCAAGGGUGUAACGUUAACGUCAACGCUACAUAGUUUGAUCUCGUAGCGUUUGAUUGCGGGUCUCUAUUAAAUGUUACUGGACGACAUCUCUUUGUGUUGCGAUUGCCGCUCCAGACAUAAUCGAGAAUUCACGAGUUCAGCCCUCGGCUUUCAAUAUAGCUUUCUGCGAUUGCGAGCGUCAGCGCUAAGCCAAGCUAGGUUCACAGUGGAGCGCCGGAGGAUGCCCAUCCGCCGAUCACCACCCAGGGAUAACGCCAAGGGUUUAACACGUAACUUCCACACACACAAACAUUAUUUGAGCUAUGAAUCAAUCGUAUGAAUAUGUAAACGGGUCCGCUGCUUCCCUAAAAAACAUAGGGUCGGCCAGCAUGCAGAUGAAGUCUUGUGCUAAAUCAUCAGUCAAAAUUAGCUGCUGAUAUUCUGCUAUGGUCUAUGCAAGAUGAACUGUAUACAUUGAAUCAACGGUGACUCCCUAAAUCCGCAUGAUCAUUUUAUUAUGCGACGUGAUUCGUUAAAUCUAAUUUGGGUGCUGUUGGCAGAUAGUCACUGGAGGGUGUUUCUGAAUACCAACACACAAGGAGGUGGCGGCGUUGCCUUUGCAGUCUGAGGUCCCAAUUAACAUAAGUAACAACAUAAUAUACACUGAUGUAUAUAUGUGACGUUCAUUUCCCAAAACCGUUUUCCGAAGCAGGGUACUACUGCAUUGUAAUAUAAUAAUCCUUUGAAUGUAUAAUGCCAAGAGGUACUUGGUUCGGCUCCAAAUGUCCACAUCCUAUUGGCACCCUCGAGCCAGAAGCGUGACCCAUGUACGUGUGUCUGAAUGCAGCGUGACUUCUACUUUAACAAUAUGGGUCUGACUUCAGUGUAAGCCCCUUUGGUUAAACGUUUCGCCUGAAUGACCAAAUAGUUUGAAGCAAAGCAUAAAUGUACUUUAAUGCAGAUGACAUACUGUUGGUGUGCAAUGUGUGAUAAAAUCAGUUAUCACAACACAUUGUGAUAUUUGAAUCGAAAGACAUGAUGUUUUAAGGUUUAAAAAAUGUGGUUGUUUAGAUCUAUGCACAACUAUUUUCUGUGUCAAGAUGAGCAAAACAGUCACGAACGAUUUUGGAAAUACCGUUUAUUGCUACUCCACAGUGGUCCUUAAUCCAGCUCAGAAGUUGUUUGGGAGAUAAUUCCCCAAAACAUGUUUUCUUUCUAAUUUACAGCCAUAAUAUUGUCAUUAUAAUGCAAACAUGCAAUAUAUAUAUAUAUAUAUAUAUAUUUAAAAAAAGCAACAACACACCUGUGUGAUAUUUAGAUUAUCAAUCAUCAAACUAUCCCUGAUGAACAGUGGUCCCAGUAGGCCAGUAUAAAAACAUUAAGGUAACCUUUCUAUCCUUUCUAUCCUAUCCCACACAGCAAGAUACUUCCCACCCCCUUUCCAUGUCCUCAAUCGUCAGUUAAGAUAAGGAAAGAUUUAAGGCCUGUACUGUUAAUAUUUUAUUUGUAUUUAGCUUCCGUUAUCAGGGUCAUUUUUUGGACAGGCGUCUUGAAUGGGUCAUUUAUAUCCAUAUUUAUGUGAUGUAUCUUUUGUGAUAUAGAAUUGCUGUAUCAUCCUUUAAUGCAUUCUGUACUUUUUGAAAUGGCUGGUCAAUUGUUCAAUAUUACCAUUUAGUCAUUGUAUUGUAGUAUACAGUUGUGAAAUGUAAAAGUGCUGGCUUAUCAAAAUACCUGUUUUUAACCUCUAAGCAGAAUGAAAAUAAAAUAUGUCCUUGGGUGAUACCAAAAAACACAUGAGGUUUGAAAUGGCUGAGAGAAAUAAAAUGCUUGCAUUAUAGGCCAAAAUCGACUCUAGUUUAUUGUGAUACUCCAUCUAACCUUUUACACCCUGAAUUAUUCUUACUACUAAGCCAUAUGCUCCUCAGAGCCCAGUGAUACCCAGCCCAGUCCACUCUAUAUAAUAACAAAGUGUGUCCUGAAACAUCUCUUAUUACAUCCCUUCUCUUUUUUUUUUGCCUC